AUAGCAUGCAUGAUUCCAAUAGAUUCAUUUAAGUUCUAAUAUCCUGAAAAUAUGGAAGUGACCUCAGACUUUGGGUUCCUAUGGCUGACAAACACUCUGGAUUGCCUGUGAUGUUUAUGCACAAACAAUUGCAUAGUUUGUAUACCCCUUUGAAACUCUGUGAGUUUAAGUAUCUUGGAUUGUAAAGUUCCAUUGAGUAAUAAACCAUUGUUCUUGUUACCCUUGUG